CUCUAACAAAAACAGGGGAUCUCUGGCAUGACGUGACACUUCCUACGGCUCCCAUGGGCUCUCAGAAGGCGGGAAAAAGCUGAAAGAUGUAAUUCCAUCCCCAGGCUGAAACACAUUAGCGCGUUUGGCAAGUGCUCUAUCAGAGGGCCAUCAGACUGAGGCUCGUGCAUGAGGGGAUAGCAUGCUUUUACUUUCACUCUCUUUGUAUUAAAAAACGAUUUCCCGGUCGGAAUAUUAUCGCUUUUCUACGAGAAAAAUGGCAUAAAAAUUGAUUUUAAACAGCAGUUGACAUGCUUCGAAGUACGGUAAUGGAAUAUUUAGAAUUUUUUUGUCACGAAACGCGUCAUGCUCGUCACCCUUAUUUACCCUUUCGGAUAGUGUCUUGAACGCACGAACAAAACGCCGCUAUUUGGAUAUAACAAUGGAUUAUUUGGGACCAAAACAACAUUUGUUAUUGAAGUAGAAGUCCUGGGAGUGCAUUCUGACGAAGAACAGCAAAGAGGUGAUGACUACUCCACUCCACAACCAUUGUCAACUUUCUCCUGACAUGACCUGGAGCUACCCGCUCAUCCCCUGGCACAUUGAUUGUUUCCCUCCAAGCACUUCAAAUCCUGUCCUGCACUGGUCAAGCCUAUGAACACCUCAACUCAUACUUCAAACCCUCAUUCAAUCACUGCUGUGAUCCUUUUCCAACACGGUAUCCCUCAGAUCAGCAGUUUGUGCUCCAAGUAAGAGCAAGUUUUUAGGAGAACAGCUCGUCAGCCCAGGAAAUGGUUCAGAUUAAAGGGAGGUAAUGACACAUUUUCUAGGCCUGUUUGUGUGAGCGGCGCAUGCAAUUUAAGGGGCUGCCAUACAAGGUCAGUUAAUAUUUCAUUGCGAGGCACUCAGGGAAUGGGGAACAGAGAGACAAAAUGCAUAUGUCUCAUUUCGCAAUCUGAUUCGUCUCUACAAAUCAGCCCGAGUCAAUGUCAUUCCAUUAUGAACUCUGCUGCAGAAUUCUGCUGCUGCGACACUGCCUGCCUGGAUGUGACUGCUUUUACUGGAGCUGAAUGUGGAAUCUCUCGAUCUCCCACUCUCUCUGUCAGGUUGCCGCAUCCUCCUCCUCCAUCUCCAUCUCCUUCUCCACUUUUACCACCUCCACACCUGUUCCUUCUCCCCUUGUUACAC
rnacentral:lncRNA from 1 species